UACGUAGGGUGCAAGCGUUGUCCGGAAUUAUUGGGCGUAAAGAGCUCGUAGGCGGUCUGUUGCGUCGGCUGUGAAAACCCGGGGCUCAACUCCGGGCCUGCAGCCGAUACGGGCAGACUAGAGUUCGGCAGGGGAGACUGGAAUUCCUGGUGUGGCGGUGAAAUGCGCAGAUAUCAGGAGGAACACCGAUGGCGAAGGCAGGUCUCUGGGCCACUACUGACGCUGAGAAGCGAAAGCAUGGGGAGCGAACAGG
rnacentral:rRNA from 1 species